AUACGGAGGGUCCAAGCGUUAUCCGGAAUCAUUGGGUUUAAAGGGACCGUAGGCGGACAAUUAAGUCAGAGGUGAAAGCCCACAGCUCAACUGUGGAACUGCCUUUGAUACUGGUUGUCUUGAAUUAUAGUGAAGUAGAUAGAAUAUGUAGUGUAGCGGUGAAAUGCAUAGAUAUUCCAUAGAAUACCGAUUGCGAAGGCAGUCUACUAACUAUAUAUUGACGCUGAUGGACGAAAGCGUGGGGAGCGAACAGGAUUAGAUACCCCUGUAGUCC
rnacentral:rRNA from 1 species